GACGAACGCUGGCGGCGUGCUUAACACAUGCAAGUCGAACGGAAAGGCCCUGCUUUUGUGGGGUGCUCGAGUGGCGAACGGGGGAGGAACACGUGAGUAACCUGCCCUUGACUUUGGGAUAGCUUCAGGAAACGAGAGCUAAUACCGGAUAGGAGCUCCUGCUGCGUUGUGGGGGUUGGAAAGUUUCGGCGGUUGGGGAUGGACUGGCGGCUGAUGAGCUUGUUGGUGGGGUAGUUGCUUACCAAGGCUGUGACGGGUCGCCGGCCUGUGAGGGUGACCGGGCACAAUGGGCCUGCGGGACGGACCAGACGCGUACGGGAGGCAGCAGUGGGGAGUAUUGCACAAUCGGCGGAAGUGUGAUGCAGCAACGCCGCGUGCGGGAUGACGGCCUUCGGGUUGUAAAAAGCUGUCGCUUGUGACGAAGCGUGAGUGACGGUAACGGGUAAAGAAGCACCGGCUAACUACGUG
rnacentral:rRNA from 1 species